AGAGUUUGAUCAUGGCUCAGGACGAACGCUGGCGGCGUGCUUAACACAUGCAAGUCGAACGGUAAGGCCCUUCGGGGUACACGAGUGGCGAACGGGUGAGUAACACGUGGGUGAUCUGCCCUGCACUUCGGGAUAAGCCUGGGAAACUGGGUCUAAUACCGGAUAGGACUCCUGGCUUCAUGGUUGGGGGUGUAAAGCUUUUGCGGUGUGGGAUGGGCCCGCGGCCUAUCAGCUUGUUGUGGGGUAAUGGCCUACCAAGGCGACGACGGGUAGCCGGCCUGAGAGGGUGACCGGCCACACUGGGACUGAGAUACGGCCCAGACUCCUACGGGAGGCAGCAGUGGGGAAUAUUGCACAAUGGGCGCAAGCCUGAUGCAGCGACGCCGCGUGAGGGAUGACGGCCUUCGGGUUGUAAACCUCUUUCAAUAGGGACGAAGCGCAAGUGACGGUACCUAUAGAAGAAGGACCGGCCAACUACGUG
rnacentral:rRNA from 1 species